rnacentral:rRNA from 1 species
AUGCGUCACGAACGCGCCGGUCGCCGGGUGCCGGAGCACCUCCACUUGCGGCGCCCAGGAGGAAACCACCAUCCCGCGUCCCCUCGUCCUGUCCAAGAAUCCCUCCGGCAGCAGCGGCUCCACCGCCGCCUCGGCCCGCCCCUCGAACCGCUUCGUCGCGUCGGCGUCCGGCGCAACGGGCGCUCGCACGGCCCAUAA